AAAAAAAAAAAAAAUUAAAGAAAUAAAACUUGAUCCCAGGAAACACAUCAUGGCAGCUAUGAUUCUGAAACUAUGGACAAGAUUGAACUAAAUACUUAUAUCAUUAUCUAGUAAAAAGAAUUAUAUAAUUAUACUUUAUAGACUGCAAUGCCGGGUUGGCAGACUAGGCUAAUUUUCAUAAACCAAACAAGCUCAUUAAACUU
rnacentral:misc_RNA from 1 species